rnacentral:rRNA from 1 species
GACGAACGCUGGCGGCGUGCUUAACACAUGCAAGUCGAACGAAGAGCGAUGGAAGCUUGCUUCUAUCAAUCUUAGUGGCGAACGGGUGAGUAACGCGUAAUCAACCUGCCCUUCAGAGGGGGACAACAGUUGGAAACGACUGCUAAUACCGCAUACGAUCUAAACUCGGCAUCGAGGAUAGAUGAAAGGUGGCCUCUACAUGUAAGCUAUCACUGAAGGAGGGGAUUGCGUCUGAUUAGCUAGUUGGAGGGGUAACGGCCCACCAAGGCGAUGAUCAGUAGCCGGUCUGAGAGGAUGAACGGCCACAUUGGGACUGAGACACGGCCCAGACUCCUACGGGAGGCAGCAGUGGGGAAUCUUCCGCAAUGGACGAAAGUCUGACGGAGCAACGCCGCGUGAGUGAUGACGGCCUUCGGGUUGUAAAGCUCUGUUAAUCGGGACGAAAGGCCUUCUUGCGAAU